rnacentral:lncRNA from 1 species
GAUGCUUUUUUUGACAGCUCUUUUCCCGGACUGCUUUUUUUGUUUUGUGUUUUGAAUAAAUCCAUAGUAGUUUUGUUUUGUGUAUUGGGUAGAUGCAUAUCGUUUUAUUUCGUGUUCUAUGCAAAUGCAUAUACUUUUGUUGGAUAUGCAACUCUCAGCCUAUGGUUUAUGGUUACCUGGGUAGUGAAUGUUCCAUUAGGUAUAGCAAGGUAGUAGUA